UACGUAGGGUGCAAGCGUUAAUCGGAAUUACUGGGCGUAAAGCGUGCGCAGGCGGUUCGUUGUGUCGGCGGUGAAAGCCCCGGGCUUAACCUGGGAAUGGCCGUUGAAACUGGCGAACUGGAGUGUGGCAGAGGGGGGUGGAAUUCCGCGUGUAGCAGUGAAAUGCGUAGAUAUGCGGAGGAACACCGAUGGCGAAGGCAAUCCCCUGGGCCUGCACUGACGCUCAUGCACGAAAGCGUGGGGAGCAAACAGG
rnacentral:rRNA from 1 species